UCUUGCACUCUAGAGAUGGAUUGUCGCCUUCGGGAGCUUACGUGAGGGGGUGGUGGGUGGCCUCCCUCGUGGUCUGAGAUGUUUGGGAAGUCCCCGCCGAGCGCAACCCUUUUCCUUAUUUGCCCCGGUUAAUGCCGGGAACUUUAAGGAUACUGCCCAGUGACAAACUGGAGGAAGGCGGGGACGACGUCAAGUCAUCAUGGCCCUUACGGCCAGGGCUACACACGUGCUACAAUGGACGGUACAAAGGGGUUGCUACCUAGCGAUAGGAUGCUAUCUAUAAAGUUGAUCUCAGUUCCGGAUUGGAGUCUGCAACUCGACUCCAUGAAGUCGGAUCGCUAGUAAUCGCGAUCAAAUGCCCCGGUGAAUACGUUCCCGGCCUUGUAACCCAGAAA
rnacentral:rRNA from 1 species